rnacentral:rRNA from 1 species
GAAAAGAAAUCAGUUCAGCACUAAGUCACUUUGUCUUUAUGGCAAAUGUGAGAUGCAGUGUAUGGAAUGUCAAAUUUCUAGUAUGAGAAAUUAACGAUUUAAGUCCUUCUUAAAUGAGGCCAUUUACCCAUAGAGGGUGCCAGGCCCGUAUAACGUUAAUGAUUACUAGAUGGCAUUUCCAAAGAGUCGUGUUGCUUGAUAGUGCAGCACUAAGUGGGUGGUAAACUCCAUCUAAAACUAAAUAUAACCAUGAGACCGAUAGUAAACAAGUACCGUGAGGGAAAGUUGAAAAGAACUCUGAAUAGAGAGUUAAAUAGUACGUGAAACUGCUUAGAGGUUAAGCCCGAUGAACCUGAAUAUCCAUUAUAGAAAAUUCAUCAUUAUGAUUUUAAUAUUAAUAAUAUUAUAAUAAUGGUGUGCAUUUUUUCUAUAACGGACAUUGUAAUCUAUUAACAUAAAUAUAUUUAUCAUAAGAUCAAUGAUGCGUAAGUUUAUUCAAAUUAUUUUGCUUGCAAUUUAACAUAGAAUAAAUGCUCUUGAUUUGAUAAAGUGUUGAUAGAUUUAUUGUAUAUAGUGCUUAAAUAUUUAUAUUUUAUAAUAGCAUAUUAAUCAUUGAUUUUUAUGUUUAUUAUAUGCACUUAUAUGAUUAACAAUGCGAAAGAUUCAGGAUACCUUCGGGACCCGUCUUGAAACACGGACCAAGGAGUCUAACAUAUUUGCAAGUUAUUGGGUAUCAAAACCUAAUAGCGAAAUUAACAUAACUUUAAUGGGAUUAGUUUUUAGAUUAUUUAUAGUCUAUUAAUUCAAUCCCGGGGCGUUCUAUCAGUUAUGUAUAAUAAUAUUUAUAUUAUUUAUACCUCUAACUAGAGCGUACCUUGAGCAUAUAUGCUGUGACCCGAAAGAUGGUGAACUAUACUUGAUCAGGUUGAAGUCAGGGGAAACCCUGAUGGAAGACCGAAACAGUUCUGACGUGCAAAUCGAUUGUCAGAAUUGAGUAUAGGGGCGAAAGACCAAUCGAACCAUCUAGUAGC